rnacentral:rRNA from 1 species
UUGGCCUACGGGGGGCAGCAGUGGGGGAUAUUGCACAAUGGGCGCAAGCCUGAUGCAGCGACGCCGCGUGAGCGAAGAAGUAUUUCGGUAUGUAAAGCUCUAUCAGCAGGGGAGAAAAUGACGGUACCUGACUAAGAAGCUCCGGCUAAAUACGUGCCAGCAGCCGCGGUAAUACGUAGGUGGCGAGCGUUGUCCGGAUUUACUGGGUGUAAAGGGCGCGUAGGCGGGAAUGCAAGUCAGAUGUGAAAUCCAUGGGCUUAACCCAUGAACUGCAUUUGAAACUGUAUUUCUUGAGUGUCGGAGAG